CCACGAACCGUGAGAUCAUGACCUGGAUCAUGACCUGAGCCAAAGUCGGAGGCUCAACUGACUGAGCCACCCAGGUGUCCCCCGAACCCUAAUCCUAAUCUUCGUGUUACAAAUCUUUCCAUAAAUGCGUCUCCUUUUCUGUCGUAGUCAGUGGAGUGUGCUGAGUAAUAAUGAAACUCAUCUGAUUCUGAAUCAUCUGGUGCCUUCAGACUGGAAAAGGCAGAAGGCAGGUGAGACCAGGUUGAACACUGGCCGAAUCCAGGGGAUGACUUUGAAAAACAAGGCACGUUGGAGCCAUUGCUGGAACCAGCCUUGGGCAAAGGAGUCAGAAGUCAGCACCCCAGGAGCCCCAAACAGAGAGGGUGGAUUUUUUCACACCCAAAUGGAGUCUUCCUUUCUGGAGGCUCAGGAGAAGGACCUCACUACGGGUCACUGCUGUUUGUUGAGCACACGCUGGUGCCACGCUGGGCGAAUUGCUUGUUAUCUCUGUACAGGUUUACGAUCACUCAGCGGACCGGACGAAGAAACUGGCACAGAAAGGUUCAGUCACUUGAGCAAGGCACCCAGCUAGCUAGCUAGCUAGUUAAGUGUUGCUGGUAGGAUCUGAACCCAGAUCUACUGACGUAUAGACUCUUAACCUUAUACUUCAAGGCAAAGAAAAUCCCAGGGGUGCCGAGGAGACGCUGUCGAGAUGUCCCGGAAACCGCGCGGCACAGAGAAGCCCACGGACAACCCCGGGUG